CCUACGGGAGGCAGCAGUUAGGAAUAUUGGGCAAUGGAGGAAACUCUGACCCAGCAACGCCGCGUGAAGGAAGAAGGUUUUCGGAUUGUAAACUUCUGACCUGUGGGACGAAGAAAGUGACGGUACCACAGGAGAAAGCCACGGCUAACUACGUGCCAGCAGCCGCGGGAAUACGGAGGUGGCGAGCGUUGACCGGAAUAACUGGGCGCAAAGGGAGCGGAGGUGGUUGAUUAAGUUAAAUGCGAAAGCCCCGGUCUAAACUCUGGAACUGCAUUUUAUACUGGUCGGCUAGAGUACAGGAGGGGGAAACAGAAUUUCUAGUGGAGCGGUGAAAUGCGUAGAUAUUAGGAAGAACACCGGAGGCGAAGGCGGUUUACUGGACUGCAACUGACACUGAGGCUCGAAAGCGUGGGGAGCAAACAGGAUUAGAUACCCGUGUAGUC
rnacentral:rRNA from 1 species